AGCAGCCGCGGUAAUUCUAGCUCCAAUAGCGUAUAUUAAAGUUGUUGCAGUUAAAAAGCUCGUAGUUGAAUUUCGAAAUUUUUUUAUCGGUUGAAUCAACAGGUUCGUACUGAUUUUAAGAAUUUCUACCUUCUGGAGAACCUUAAUGUCAUUUAUUUGAUGUUUUGGGAAACCAGGACUGUUACCUUGAAAAAAUUAGAGUGUUUAAAGCAGGCUUAUGUCUGAAUAUAUUAGCAUGGAAUAAUGAAAUAGGACGGCAUGGUUCUAUUUUGUUGGUUUCUAGGAUCACCGUAAUGAUUAAUAGGGAUAGUUGGGGGCAUUAGUAUUCAAUUGUCGGAGGUGAAAUUCUUGGAUUUAUUGAAGACUAACUUCUGCGAAAGCAUUUGCCAAGAAUGUUUUCAUUAAUCAAGAACGAAAGUUAGCGGAUCGAAGGCGAUCAGAUACCGCCCUAGUGCUAACCAUAAACGAUGCCAAACCAGUAAUAAGACCUGAGUUCCUUAAAUGACUCGGCUUGGGACUU
rnacentral:rRNA from 1 species